UAAAUCUCCACCUUUAAACACUGAACUAAGUUUAACAGAAUCAAAUCCAACACUACAUUACAUAGCUAAUGCUUAGUUACUAAUUUAAGUUUACUAACAUAAACUCUGCUAACAUUUUCAUUCUUCUUGUUUAGUUGGAAAGUGUGUUUGGACCUUCUGGUGCCUCUUGCUUCACCAGUACACCAGCACAGAUGGGAUCGGAGAAGCCAUUGACAUCCAUGGCGGCGAGGUGAGCACAGCGUUGUACACCGACAUACAGACCUCCCUUUCGGGCCUCUCCAUCUCCCUCUACAGACGGAGGCAGGAACUGGAGCGACAGUAGCAGACGGCCUCUUUCCUCCAGACUGUGCAGCUGCUCGUGCUCCCACUGCAGAAAAAGUCAAAGGAGAAGGAAAGUAGAAAGAAUCCACUUCAGAGGACCAAUAUGAUCUGGUAAUAAUAAAAAGGAUGAUGAAGAAGAAGAAGAUGAGGAAAAAGAAGAAGAAGUAGAUGAGGAAGAAGAAGAAGAAGAUGAAUAAACCGGCUAAUACAAUGUAAAAAGAACACAAAAAUGUCAAAUGUAAUAAAAAUCAGAAUCUGGAAGAAGAAAGAGAAUAAUAUAAAUUAUAAACAAGCAAAGAGUUCAGCUAUAAAUUAAUAAAACAGUUUACCAUGUAUUUUAGUACAGAAAGCAGACUGAUUCUAAUUUUAAAUGACAAUAUGCUAUUGCGAAUGAGAUGCCGUAAACAUCAUCUAGAGAAAUAAAGAUGGCAUCUCAUUUUAUACAAGUCUUUGUACAAGUAUUGCAGGAUAUUGAAGUAUUUGACCGAGUUAUUGCUCAUCUUCCUGUUCAACACAGCAGUCUAAUGGCUUAUCCAUCUUCAGACACACACUGAUAGCUGUAACCUUAUCCACCUAUCUGUCUACCACGUGUAAUGUGAGAAGUCAGCAGGUGAUGAAUUGGUGUAAUUCUUAUUAGUUUUUUCUUAUAUGGACAUACUGUAUAGUGUAAAGUCAGUGGCUGAAUGCAAGAAGAAGAGGUUUGAGAUCUGGAACGAGCUCUUUCAAGAUCUAAAUAAAUAAAAAAAAUGCAAUCAAAUUACUCAAGGUUUUAAAUUACAUUAAGUACGGUUUCAAGCACUGCAUUUCAAUAAUGGUCCAGUAAAGUAUAAAUACCCCAGAAAUAACAGUAGCAAAGUACACUAACUAGAGAUGUGAUGAGCCCUGAAAGUUAACAGCAAUAUUUAAUUCCGAUUAUUUCCAUCACAAUGUUUUUGUUUUCCACGAAAACUGGAUACAGGUACAGUGGAGUUCGGAUUCAUUUUCUCUAGAAGAGCCUAAUAAAUGUAGUGGGAAUAAAUGUCUUAUUCAAGUGUUUGAUGGACUGAAGAGUUAAAGUUUGCGUGCUUCAUGUUAAACUACUGCAAAGUUCGACUUAAUCAUUAAAACCUGUUGU